rnacentral:lncRNA from 1 species
CUUACACUAAUUCUAUUUUACUAUGACACAAUCUCUAAGCUGCUUGGUGACAUGGUAUUGUACAAUAUUUUUAGAAACUGGAGGAACGUCUGGAUGUCAGCAUCAGUAUUUGGAGUACUAGUCUGAAAAAUACCAUAUAACAUGGGUUCAUAAUGAGCUCGUGCUUAUUCGAAGAACGAACUGAAACGUCCCCACUUGGAAGCCUGCAACAAGCCUGGAGCUGCAUUCCUGUGCCUCGUGCAACCCAGCAAGUCACACCUACGGGAACGGUGCAGGAACAUCCACGCUCACACUAAACUAGGUCAGAGUUUGCUCAAGCUGUAACACUUUGUCCAAGAACCAGGGUAAAUAUUCAGGUAGUUUGUCUGUUCCAGUGAGAGAAAAAACAAUGCUGGAUUCACGGCAGAGAGAAGAGAGUAAGAUCCUCUGCAGCUUAGCAGUUAGAGCUCAGAAAGAAAAUCCUGAAAGAAGAGAAAAUCCAGCAUUAAUCCUCUACCAAGAUGCAAUGUGCCAGUAUUUCUCAUCAAUUCAUGCGCUUGUUUGACCUCCUACUUAUAAGCCAAGUCGUUCACUAGGUGAGCUAUUUCAAUACAUAAUGAAUUCACCAUGAGAAUGAAUGUAAUGUAACAUAAAAGGAAAGCUAAAUCAGGAAAGUAGAACUCAAAUUUGCGAUCUAUCAGUUACUAACUUCACACCAGAUCUGGUCAGUCAUUAGAGCUAAGGAGACAGUAUAGCUUCCUCCCCCUCCUUGUUUCUUCUGUACUAUUUCUGAAAUCCUUUCCUGUGUUCAGCUCAUUCAUUCUGACUGAGUUUAAGAUGAUAAUUUUCACCGCCAGCCAUGCAAAAAACAUUGCA